rnacentral:snRNA from 1 species
AAAAAAGGGCUGUAUCAUGAAUGGCACAUGUAGGGCAGCUGCAUUGCUCUUCCUGUGGAAAUGACAUAAAGAGAUUUCAGAAUCAUAAUUUUUUGGUACCUGAGCAGCUAGUGAUCAUUGGUCCUGGCUCCCCA